rnacentral:rRNA from 1 species
UCCACGCAGUAAACGUUGUACACUAGGUGUAGCGGGUAUUGACCCCUGCUGUGCCGCAGCUAACGCAUUAAGUGUACCGCCUGGGGAGUACGAUCGCAAGAUUAAAACUCAAAGGAAUUGACGGGGGCCCGCACAAGCGGUGGAGCAUGUGGUUUAAUUCGACGCAACGCGAAGAACCUUACCUGGAUUUGACAUCCUGGGAAUUUUAUUGAAAGAUAAGAGUGCCCUUAGGG